GCAUGUCUAAGUAUAAGCAAUCUAUACUGUGAAACUGCGAAUGGCUCAUUAAAUCAGUUAUCGUUUAUUUGAUAGUACCUUACUACAUGGAUACCUGUGGUAAUUCUAGAGCUAAUACAUGCUAAAAACCCCGACUUCGGGAGGGGUGUAUUUAUUAGAUAAAAAACCAAUGCCCCUCGGGGCUCCUUGGUGAAUCAUAAUAACUUAACGAAUCGCAUGGCCUUGCGCCGGCGAUGGUUCAUUCAAAUUUCUGCCCUAUCAACUUUCGAUGGUAGGAUAGUGGCCUACCAUGGUGGCAACGGGUAACGGGGAAUUAGGGUUCGAUUCCGGAGAGGGAGCCUGAGAAACGGCUACCACAUCCAAGGAAGGCAGCAGGCGCGCAAAUUACCCAAUCCCGACACGGGGAGGUAGUGACAAUAAAUACUGAUACGGGGCUCUUUUGGGUCUCGUAAUUGGAAUGAGUACAAUCUAAAUCCCUUAACGAGGAACAAUUGGAGGGCAAGUCUGGUGCCAGCAGCCGCGGUAAUUCCAGCUCCAAUAGCGUAUAUUAAAGUUGUUGCAGUUAAAAAGCUCGUAGUUGAACCUUGGGUCUGGCUGGCCGGUCCGCCUCACCGCGAGUACUGGUCCGGCUGGACCUUUCCUUCUGGGGAAUCCCAUGGCCUUCACUGGCUGUGGGUGGAACCAGGACUUUUACUGUGAAAAAAUUAGAGUGUUCAAAGCAGGCCUUUGCUCGAAUACAUUAGCAUGGAAUAAUAGAAUAGGACGUGCGGUUCUAUUUUGUUGGUUUCUAGGACCGCCGUAAUGAUUAAUAGGGAUAGUCGGGGGCGUCAGUAUUCAGCUGUCAGAGGUGAAAUUCUUGGAUUUGCUGAAGACUAACUACUGCGAAAGCAUUCGCCAAGGAUGUUUUCAUUAAUCAGGGAACGAAAGUUAGGGGAUCGAAGACGAUCAGAUACCGUCGUAGUCUUAACCAUAAACUAUGCCGACUAGGGAUCGGGCGGCGUUUCUAUGAUGACCCGCUCGGCACCUUACGAGAAAUCAAAGUUUUUGGNUUNCUGGGGG
rnacentral:rRNA from 1 species